rnacentral:tRNA from 2 species
GCGGGUGUAGCUCAAUGGUAGAGCCCCUGCCUUCCAAGCAGGUGACGUGGGUUCGAUUCCCAUCACCCGCUCCA